rnacentral:lncRNA from 1 species
AUUAUUAUUAUUAUUAUUACACACACACACACACACCUCUCUCUCUGUAGUUGCUGUGUCCUCCAUUGCAUGUGUUUCAUUUAAUAUAUUUAUUAUUGGUUUAUAAACAUUGUGUACACCAAAAUCUGUCAUUAAAUACAUGUAGACAUUUUGUGGCUUUUAUAAUGAGAGUCUAUGGGAAAUUUGAUAUGAUUUACGAAAACUGAACUGACAAGAGGAUUUUCGGGGAUUGGAAUCUUUUUGUAAAUCUGGGACUGCCUGUUUUUAGAAAAUGCCAUACUAUUUUGUACCUUAAUUAUUAUAUUGAGUCAUUUCAUUUUAUUCCAGAUGUUCCAUUUCCCAAGACUUUUAUACCUUUAUGCAAGAAAAUUCUCACCAGGCUCUUCAGAGUGUUUGUCCAUGUGUACAUCCAUCAUUUUGACCGCAUUGUUGCCAUCGGAGCAGAAGCCCACGUUAAUACUUGCUACAAACAUUUUUAUUACUUCAUAAUGGAGUUUGACCUGGUGCCUCAGAAGGAGCACGAACCCUUGAAAGACAUGACAGCUAAGAUCUGCUAUGACAAUCCGGAACUUCCUACCAGUCUUGACCACAAGAAGUAGCGAGUAUUUAAGAGAGAAACCUGCCACGAGGAAUGCCUGGACCAUGAUGAUAAAAUGGCAUCAUAACUUUUCUCACAAGAGGUCAGUUUAAUUGUGAAUGUUUGAAUUACAUUUGUGACGACACUGUUGAAUCUGUGAACUCUGGUUGAGACUGAUUUUUUGUUUUGUUUUGUAUUAGGGUUCUGUUUGUGUCAUCUAAAAUCAUCAGAAACAUUAUUUUGUUUUGUUUUCAUUAUGAACAAAAAUUUUGUCAAGAAUGCAUUUUUUAGUACUUUUAUCUGUGUUUUUAUUGACACUGUGUAAAGGUAAUUGAGUCUUUUUUUUUACGGAUGUGAGCUUCUUGUUGUAUACCUCAUUGUCGUCUGUAAAACUAAUUCUGUUUAUGCGGGAAUUACAAAAAACUUUUGAUCAACUACAUACUGGAUAUAUAAUAUGGAAGGCUGUUUUUAGGAUUGCUCAUAAUACAAUAAUGAAUCUGAGGCAUAUCACUAAAAGUAAGGUUCAGUACAUGUCCAUGUAUUUGUAAGUAAAUUGUAAACACAUAUAUGCAAUUAAAUUAGCUGUCAUACUUUUAUUAAUUCUCAGUACAAAACAGCGACCAUAUUCUUGACAAUACUAAUUGCAAUCAGUAGAUUAUAUGGUAAUAAGAAAAUAUCUUAACUUCAUUAGGCAUACACCUAUAUACUGUAACUGUAAUAUGGAACUGAAAAUCAAUCAAAAUUUUUUAAUUUGUUUGUAAUAGGCUGCCAAAUGCAUAGUUUAGUUUCAUUUCUGUAUGCUGAUAUUUUUCACGAAUCUAUUGUAACUGGUAGCGGAGAACUUUUUGUUGGCCUAGAAUAGUGAAAUCAUUUUAUCUUUACUCUGGUUAUUUAUACUAUUGUAAUGUAAAAAGUAUCAAUAGGUAUUUUAUUGUAAGCAACUGAUGUUGAUCAUGAAGCUUUAUAUAUCAAGAAUGUUGAAUUAAUUUGAUGAAGUCAUUAUGAUUUAAUGUUUGCAUAAAUCAUUGCCAUUUUUGGUACAUAUUUUUUUAUCUUGACUUAUAAUUGUGUGGUUACUCUGGUUGGCAAUUUUUGUUCUCAAUAACGUGCAUUAAUUCAGUUAGAUCUGCUUAUUUUUUAAGAUUUAGUUAAAAGGAAGAGAGGAGGAUUAGGAUAAAUAUUCUAAGGGUUAGAUAUGUGUAACCACAGUUUUAUUGUUGUAAUAGAAUAUUUACAUUGCCACUUUUGCCAGUAAGGAAAUGGCAAGCUCUCUUAAUUAUAAAUGAUAUACAGUAAUCAAGGAAUUGAUAAAAAAGGUUGUGACAUGUGAGGGAGAGCAUGACCAUGUUGUUGGAGAGGCCUCCUGGGUAAUUUGUCAUCGCUGUUGAGAAAAUGUUCCAACAAGUUAACAGAUGGGGAAAAGACAAAACACCUAUGUUUGCUUUAUAAGACCCACAAUUUAGGAGUGCAGUACAGUAUAGCCAAAAUUGAAUAUGCGAAAAAUAUCAUCUUUGAUAUGAUUCAGUACUGCUUCUCAUGUGUAGGCAACUUGAGAAUGUAUCAUUUUGGGUUUGAGUUGCAUUUUAUGUUUUCUACUCAAAGUCCAUAAUUCUCUAAGGAGUAUUUUUCAGGUUUUGACAUUGUAUGUCAUUGUCACUCAAAGUCCAGAGACUUGGCCAGCUUUGUAUGCUAGAAAUAUGCUACCUCACAAGUAGGAAGCACCAUUGCUUCUGUAUUCUCUGUGAAAUUUUACUCUGAUAACUUCACAUAAGACAAAGAGGAAAAUUAGAGACUGAUUAACUUGUGCAUUUAAAUCAAGAGUAUGGUACAUGGAAAUGACUGAUGUAGCAUAGUGAUGGACUCCAUACUAACACCCGACUAUGAUGGUAACAUAGUGAUGGACUCCAUACUAACACCCUACUAUGAUGGUAACAUUGUGAUGGACUCCAUACUAACACCCUACUAUGAUGGUAACAUUGUGAUGGACUCCAUACUAACACCCUACUAUGAUGGUAACAUUGUGAUGGACUCCAUACUAACACCCUACUAUGAUGGUAACAUAGUGAUGGACUCCAUACUAACACCCUACUAUGAUGGUAACAUAGUGAUGGACUCCAUACUAACACCCUACUAUGAUGGUAACAUAGUGAUGGACUCCAUACUAACACCCUACUAUGAUGGUAACAUAGUGAUGGACUCCAUACUAACACCCUACUAUGAUGGUAACAUAGUGAUGGACUCCAUACUAACACCCUACUAUGAUGGUAACAUAGUGAUGGACUCCAUACUAACACCCUACUAUGAUGGUAACAUAGUGAUGGACUCCAUACUAACACCCUACUAUGAUGGUAACAUAGUGAUGGACUCCAUACAACACCCUACUAUGAUGGUAACAUAGUGAUGGACUCCAUACUAACACCCUACUAUGAUGGUAACAUAGUGAUGGACUCCAUACUAACACCCUACUAUGAUGGUAACAUAGUGAUGGACUCCAUACUAACACCCUACUAUGAUGGUAACAUAGUGAUGGACUCCAUACUAACACCCUACUAUGAUGGUAGCAUAGUGAUGGAUACCAUACUAUUACCCCUCGUACAAUGGAAAUUUUGUGAUCUCAAGCUUGGUCCCUGUAGUAGAUAUAAAAAUUUUUUGCUUGACAUUUUAUUGUCAGUUCAUAUUUUAACUAAACUGUGUCCACUUGGGUGUCCUGACCAGCAUUCACAAUUUGUACAUGUUGAUUGUUUGAUGGUUGCUAAGUAAGUUGUGCUCCCAUGUUAUACAGUAUAUCAGGGUUUUUCAGGUGAAGACAAAAUUUUCAUAUAAAAACAAAGUUAUAUUAAACAUUAAAAAGAAGAAAUAGGGCAUAACUUAACCAUUAUGAUGGCACGACUCAUUUGUUAACUACUCUGAAUUGUGACAGUUGCUAAGAAUGCCAAAAAGUGGGUGGAUGAUCUUUGGACCUCAGAGGUGGGUGGAUGAUAAAGGUUUUAAUUGGUAAAGAUAACAGUUUCCUCAUUGUGACACACAAAGUUUACAUUUGUAACAGUGGUCCCUUUUGACCUAACUUAUACUGUUGCUGUGGAAGAGAGAUUAGGUACAUGCUCCUUUGGUACAAAAAUUAUAUAUGCUAAAUACCAGGUUGAUUGCUUCUAUCAGUACAGUACAGUGUUACCACCCUUAAUUGUUAUGAUGUAGUGACAAAGCUGUACUAUGCUUCUGCAUUGCCUGCUUGUACUUGAAUCUGAUUUUUGUAUCACAGGAAUGGUGUUUUUUUUUUAAUCUUUACCUCAGAACAUUUUCACUUUAUAUGACAUGUACAGUUAAUGUAACAGAAAUUUAGUAGGUUUUUAAGAUGCUUAUGAAAUUCAUACAGUAUAUGAAUAAUGUAUAUGUGUGUAUACUUUCUUUCAUGAAAAACUAUGUUGCAUUAAGUCUUGUUCUCUUUUGAAAUGUAGCAAAACCUGAGCAAGAUUUUGUGAAUAGCUAAUAUUUAUAAAAGUGUUUUAAUUUAUUACUCUCCUCUAAGAAUAGUCCUUACUGAGAGCUUUAAUGAAGAUCAGAGCUUAUUCUUAAUAUUACUAUGGCUGCCAGUACUUAACCAUUUGUUGUUUUAUAAUCCAGUAAUGUGUCCAACUAUUCAUAAGUUCUUCCCAAAGGCUUAGAAGAAAUUGUUUUAUGUUAUUUAUUUAUAUUUUUAAUUAUCAAAAGUUCCCUUGACUCAUCCUCCUGUCUUCCAUCCUUUAGGAGUUCCUUCCAACAUUACAUAUACAACUCCUGGACCUCAGUACAAAGGCCAGUGUCAUUUUUGGUAUUUUCUAGAUGAAUAUUAAUGAGUUCAUUCUAGUUGUAUCUUUCAAUGUUGUACAGCUUGUGCCAGUACCAUAUCAGCAAUGAUCAUACUGUAGGAGAGCAUAUUCUUGGCUGGUAUCAAGCAACAAAUAUAUCAAUAUUGUUAUUAAGGUUGUGGGUAAAUAUGUUUACAUAAUGUACAGCAUACUGGCAGUUGUAAACUUCACAGAUUUUUUUUACUGAAAUACCUCCAUAACACUUUGAAAUUAGCAGGUAUGGAUGUGUUCAGGUGAUUUUUUAAUAAUGAUUAAAAGAACUACAAAAUUGCCUUUUCUGACAAUGGCAUUUUUUUGCAUUGAGUUUCAGACUUGUGUCUCUAUUAUGCCCUUGUUACUUGUUAUCUCAGUUCUCUAUAUGCUAGUGUCAAUCUCUUAUGUUUGUUUGUGUUAAUGAGUGAUUUUUGUGUGUGACUGGCUGCUAUGUAAGUUGUCUUAGACAUUUCUUGUAAUUUUCUUAACACUCUUGCACCACUCCAUACUAUUUCCCUGUUCUUACAUAUUCUUGUACACCUUGAUCCAUUCUUCAUAAAGGUAAUGUUUAGAUAGAGUAUGGCUGUGCUUUUAAUUUGCAUAUGUAUGGCUAUAGGCAAGUAUUUUCACAUAUACUGUAUGUACAUAAAUGUGCAAAUACAGUACACACUAGUGUGUAUAAUGUGUAUGUACAAAUGCAUUUAUACAAAUUUGUGUGAGCUCAUGUUCAUGUAUGCUUUUAUUCCUAUGUCUUUUGUUAAUGAUACUUGCUCAGUAGGGACUGAAGAGUAACUGAAUAAAGAUCAUGUAGAAGUAA